ACCGAUUAGGAACAAGUACCGUGAGGGAAAGAUGAAAAGAACUUUGAAAAGAGAGUUAAACAGUAUGUGAAAUUGUUAAAAGGGAACCGUUUGGAGCCAGACUGGCUUGUCUGUAAUCAAUCUAGGCUUCGGCCCGGGAUGCACUUGCAGGCUAUGCCUGCCAACGACAAUUUGACUUGAGGGAAAAAACUAAGGGAAAUGUGGCCCAUUUUUGGGUGUUAUCUCCCUUAGAAAAUACCUUGGGUUGGUCUGCGGAACGCAGCGAAUGCUUUUUAACGAGUUUUCCUCCAAGGUUUUCUGAG
rnacentral:rRNA from 1 species